rnacentral:tRNA from 46 species
GCGGAUGUAGCCAAGUGGAUCAAGGCAGUGGAUUGUGAAU